rnacentral:misc_RNA from 1 species
GAUGAAGAACGCAGCGAAAUGCGAUAAGUAAUGCGAAUUGCAGAACUCAGUGAGUCAUCGAAUCUUUGAACGCACAUUGCGCCCGCCAGUAUUCUGGCGGGCAUGCCUGUUCGAGCGUCAUUACAACCCUCAGGCCCCCGGGCCUGGCGUUGGGGAUCGGCGGAGCCCCCCGUGGGCACACGCCGUCCCCCAAAUGCAGUGGCGGUCCCGCCGCAGCUUCCAUCGCGUAGUAGCUAACACCUCGCGACUGGAGAGCGGCGCGGCCACGCCGUAAAACACCCAACUCUUCUGAAGUUGACCUCGAAUCAGGUAGGAAUACCCGCUGAACUUAAGCAUAUCAAUAAGCGGAGGA